CCUACGGGUGGCUGCAGUAGGGAAUAUUGCUCAAUGGGGGAAACCCUGAUGCAGCGACGCCGCGUGGGUGAGGAAGUACUUCGGUAUGUAAAGCUCUAUCAGCAGGGAAGAAAAUGACGGUACCUGAGUAAGAAGCCCCGGCUAACUACGUGCCAGCAGCCGCGGUAAUACGUAGGGGGCAAGCGUUAUCCGGAUUUACUGGGUGUAAAGGGAGCGUAGACGGCGGUGCAAGUCUGGUGUGAAAGGCGGGGGCUCAACCCCGGGACUGCCUUGGAAACUGUACGGCUGGAGUGCAGGAGAGGUAAGUGGAAUUCCUAGUGUAGCGGUGAAAUGCGUAGAUAUUAGGAGGAACACCAGUGGCGAAGGCGGCUUACUGGACGGUAACUGACGUUGAGGCUCGAAAGCGUGGGGAGCAAACAGGAUUAGAUACCCCUGUAGUC
rnacentral:rRNA from 1 species